rnacentral:rRNA from 1 species
AGAGUUUGAUCCUGGCUCAGAUUGAACGCUGGCGGCGUGCCUAAUACAUGCAAGUCGAACGCUUCUCUUUUCACCGGAGCUUGCUCCAACGAAAAGAGAAGAGUGGCGGACGGGUGAGUAACACGUGGGCAACCUGCCCAACAGAGGGGGAUAACAGUUGGAAACGACUGCUAAUACCGCAUACGCCCUACGGGGGAAAGCAGGGGACCUUCUGGCCUUGCGCGAUUGGAUAUGCCCAGGUGGGAUUAGCUAGUAGGUGAGGUAACGGCUCACCUAGGCGACGAUCCCUAGCUGGUCUGAGAGGAUGACCAGCCACACUGGAACUGAGACACGGUCCAGACUCCUACGGGAGGCAGCAGUGGGGAAUAUUGCACAAUGGGCGCAAGCCUGAUGCAGCCAUGCCGCGUGUAUGAAGAAGGCCUUCGGGUUGUAAAGUACUUUCAGCGAGGAGGAAGGCAUUAAGGUUAAUAACCUUGGUGAUUGACGUUACUCGCAGAAGAAGCACCGGCUAACUCCGUGCCAGCCGCCGCGGUAAUUC